GAACGGAUUUAUUUAUUCAAUAAGAUACUCCUAACAGUAUAUCCUUAUAUAUAGAGAUCAAUAUCAGAUUUAUUUAUUGAAACCCUAACCUUUUUGUCUCUUUGUCGAUAAUUAUCUGUUAGAACAGAGAAACAUGGAUCAGUCACCACCAACACAUGGAGAUAGUAGUAGCAGCCGCAGCAAUACUACCGGCGAGGCUACUAGUCCACCAAACUGGAAGAAGAAUAAAGAAUUUGAUAUAGAGGCAUUUUGUGAAGAGAUAAUAGAAACAACUUCCAAAUGGAUGAGUUUCUUCUCCCUGGAAGCAAUGAAGGAGGAGUUGCUAAAAAGAGAGGAAAGAAGAAGAUGUAGCUAACUUAUUUGUUAUUAUUAGGUUUAAUUGUAUUUUUCAUCAACUUAGUUCUUAUAAAUCUGUGAUUUUUAACCUAAAAAAUUGUGAUUUAUAAUCACCAUUUUUAAGGUAAAAAUUAUGUUUUUUUUAUCAAAUAACAAAUCUAAAAAUAGAGGACCUAAAAGUUUGAUUUUAAAAUAGAUAGACUAUUUAUGUAAAUACUUAAAAUAGGAGAACAAGAAAUACAAUUAAAUCUUAUUUUUUUUAAAUAAUAAACGGUGUUAUCAGUCCUAUUGUAGUUACUACUAUUUACAUACAUUUAUUGGGUUGUAGUAUUAGAAGUA